rnacentral:rRNA from 1 species
AAGAUGUACCGGGGCUAAGCAUAUUACCGAAGCUGCGAAUCUUGUUUACAAGAUGGUAGGGGAGCGUUCCAACAGGGCUGAAGGUCGAUCGUGAGGACGGCUGGACUGGUUGGAAGUGAGAAUGCCGGUAUGAGUAGCGCAAGAUGGGUGAGAAUCCCAUCCACCGUUUGCCCAAGGUUUCCUGGGGAAGGUUCGUCCUCCCAGGGUAAGUCAGGACCUAAGGCCAGGCCGAGAGGCGUAACCGAUGGACAACAGGUUUAUAUUCCUGUACCACCUAUAUAACUGAUGGAGUGACGGAGAAAGCUAGGAGGAGCUCAUUAUUGGAUUUGAGUUUAAGCGCUUAGGUUAGUAUGCUGGAAAAUCCGUAAUACUGUGUAACUGAAACGUGAUGACGUCGAUGACUUCGGUCAUCUAAGUUCUCUGACGCUAUGCUUCCAAGAAAAGCUUCUAGGGUUAAUUAUAUAGGUGCCUGUACCGAGAACCGACACAGGUGGGCAAGGAGAGUAUCCUAAGGUGAGCGAGUGAACUAUGGUUAAGGAACUCGGCAAAAUGACCCCGUAACUUCGGGAUAAGGGGUGAUCAAGUGAUUGAUCCGCAGUGAAAUGGCCCAAGCGACUGUUUAUCAAAAACAUAGGUUUCUGCUAAUUCGUAAGAAGAUGUAUAGGAGCUGACACCUGCCCAGUGCUGGAAGGUUAAGAGGAGUGCUUAGCUUGACAUUAGUCGAUUUGCGAAGGUACGAAUUGAAGCCCCAGUGAACGGCGGCCGUAACUAUAACGGUCCUAAGGUAGCGAAAUUCCUUGUCGGGUAAGUUCCGACCCGCACGAAAGGUGUAACGAUUUGGGCACUGUCUCGACCAUAGGCUCGGUGAAGUUCUAAUACCUGUGAAAAUGCAGGUUACCCGCGACAGGACGGUCAGACCCCGUGGAGCUUUACUACAGCUUGAUAUUGGGACUUGGUCUAUUAUGUAGAGAAUAGGUGGGAGACUUUGAAGCUAGGACGCUAGUUCUAGUGGAGUCACCUUUGGAAUACCACCCUUAGUAGACUGAGUUUCUAACCUGGCACCAUGAAUCUGGUGUGGGGACAGUGUCUGGUGGGUAGUUUGACUGGGGCGGUCGCCUCCUAAA